AUGACCUCAGGUCGAAUGACCAGAAUGCAAGUGAGUAAAGAAGAUCAAAAGAAAGCUGUAUCGACUGAACCAAUCAAAAUCAAAACAGCUGAAGAAGUAAAAAGUGCUAUUAAAAUGAGGAAAGCAGCCCACAUGGAAGAGCCGGAUUUAGAUGAUUUCAUCUUGAUUCUUGACAAAAAGUCUGAGAAAUGGAGCCGUGUAAAGAACUCAUUGCAGGCUUUCAAUUCCAUCACUCCCAAAGUUACGGCGGAAGAAGCAGCGAUACAAUAUGAAUUGAAGUCUGAAGUUGACUGGACAGAUCCUGAUUACUACUUCAAAUUUGGUGCGAGCAUGGACUGCAAACUAUGCUCUUACAGUGGCUGUCACAUAUCCGAUCAUUACCUGUUGUACCACUCUGAGGAUCAAGUUUUGAGUUCUCGGCUGCAUCAUGAAGAAGGAGAAAGUGCCAUUGCAGAAUCAAUUUUCCUUGAUUAUUCAGACGUGCCGGAUGAGUUCUUAAUUAGAUUUCCAGCCAGCAAAGAAUGUGAUGGCACUGUACUAAACAAAGAAAGCCUCAAUAAGCUUCUCUUAAAACAGUGGCUCAGGGACCACUCAGACAACUUGACUGAAGUUUUUCAAUCAUUGGUUGAUAAUUGUGUCUUGGAAAGAGACAGUAACGCAACAUUGUCCAUCCAUGAUGAAAUUAAGCCGAAAAUACUCACUAAUCUGCCAGAUCUCUUGUACAGAGCAUAUCGGGCUAAAAUGCGGUCAAACCUAUUUCUUUGUCGCAUGUGCAAUAAUAUUUAUGACAAUGCUCGGAAAUUUUUUGAACACUGCAGUUUCCAUACGGGGGAAUAUCUCUAUGAAUGUACUCCCUGUCAAUUAAUUUUACCAUCUAUUGACGAUUUUGUCUCUCAUGAGGAAAGUGCCCCUGGAAAUCAUUUUUUAUCCAAUCGUUAUCUCUUACCACCAGAAUCUUCAAUUUUGUUCGGCUAUAUUUGUUCUUCAUGUAAUUUUGUUCAAUUAGUUUAUGAGAAUUUAGUGCGCCAUCUAACGUAUCACAAAAAUGACAAAUUUGAGCCACAAAUUGUGCGUAUAAAUAUGUCUAAAUUAUCCUCUGGUCUAUUUGCUGAAAGUUGUGAAGACGCAGUCGCCAAGAAGUGGCAUGACUACAAAAAAGAAGACAUUACGAGCUGUGGCUGCCCCAAGUUUUAUUUGUCAUUCGAUGACCCAAAAGAUGUUGCUAAACAUUUUGAAAAAUUAUCUUUGAAGGAAAUUUGCGGUAGCAAUCUAAACAAUUCCACAAAGUGUGCCAAUCCUUUUGCUAGAAGUUUUUCCUCUCCCAAGCACAAAUCAAAUAUAACAUUCACUGAUCAUAAUGCACCACUUCCAAGCAGUCAUAGUUUUGAAAAAAUUAUCACCUCACGCGAAAUAGAGCACACAAAUCUAGAAAAAAUUAUUCUAAGACUAUCAAAGGCAGGCAAAAAUCCAUAUCUUUUCUCCAAAUCUUUGAGGACGAAUGUUAAUCAGUUGAGCAAGGAGCAUGCUGCCAAGCCUCAAGACCUUAUAAUGGAUGAAGAAGGAAGGAACACUGAGCACAAUUAUGCGUUCACAAACAGUGGACCAGAAUCAUUUCCUAUUCAAUUGGACAAAGAGAAUUCUCCUCAGUCUCGCAUAAAGUUUUUAGAAGACCUACACAACAGGUUGAAAACUAAAGGCGGCAGAAACUACUUGACUGAACUUGAAAAGAAGUUGAAGUUGACAGAAGUUGAGGCUAUGGAUUUAGGUGAAGUACAUCUUUUAUCCUUGAAGAAAUUUGCCCCAAAUAUCUCCAAAUCCAAAGCUAGUUUGGAGUCUGAAGCUCCAACAAUACACAUUCCAGACUCAGUUGAGUGUUCCCUGCCGAAAAUUAUGAAUGUCAUUGACUUUAAUCUUCAUAUGACAACCGAAUCGUCAGAGAGUUCAGUUUCUAUUCGCAAGCCUUCGAAUGCAUUUUUGAAUAUUGGGAAUCUACUUACAUCAUCUCAUUCUGGAAAGUCUUCUACUCCUAAAACUUGCAAACCAUUACCAUCCCUGCUCUCAGUGAAGAAACCACCCCAGAACCAAAAGUAUACAAUGAAAGAUCCUGCCGUGCGGAAGCUGAGAGUCGGUCCUAUUGGCGCUGUGAAGGAAGUAAAUCAUGUUGCCUUUAGUUGCUUCGCUCCUCUCAAAAGUGGAAAGAUGUGCAGCCAUAGAACAGACAGUGUGGAACAGCUGGUUACUCACUUCAAUUCAUUUCAUACUGAUGUUAAGUGGACUGGUCUGUGUGAGCCGUGUGGUCAGACUAUUGUUGCCAGAGGGUUGGAAAAGUAUCCUAUCAGCAUUGCCUCAAAUCAUUUAGUUUCGGCACACUUAUCUCCAGUUACCAUAUUUGAGCUCAUCAAACCUACAGCUAACCCAGCCGUAACCUCACUUGGAGGUAUUCCUCCUGAGCCAAGACCACAUAUUGUCAUAAAAAAUUCUCAGGCGUUACCAUCUUGCAUCACCACAAGUCCUUCAAAGGCAGUUACAACUGAACUUCCAGAGUCUAGCUCCUCAGGAGUAGGAAAUGUAGUACAAGUCCCUCCACCACCACCUCAGCAGCCCAGACUAAGAGUUAGGCCGAUAGAAGAGAUGCUUGACCGUAAAUUGUUGGAUCAGCAGAUGCGCGAUUCAUCUACUGCAGAAAAAGAUGCCGAGAGUGGUAUUCAGAUUUCAAGUGUCAUGAGCCUUUCAUCUCUGGGAGAAGACUCUCCUUUGAAACUUGGAUCAGAAACGCAAGUAAAUUCCACUGAAAGUGAGCUUCCUCUAUCAAUACUUCUGAACACAGAUAAGCUUUUGUACCUCACACCACUGGGUCCUAAACGCUUGUCAUCGAUAAUGUUGCGAGAUCCAGGAAGCGAAUCAGGCGCAAUAAAAUCCAUGUACAAGUUCAAACUUCAAUCAGGAAUCGCCAUGGAAGAGCUUUUGAAGGGUCAGUCAACGAGUUUUAUUAAUGCUGUAAAAGCGAGCCCCGGAUAUGUUCUAUUCAUGUACUGCAGACUCUGUUUCAUCUAUCACCACAUAAACAUUGACCUGUUCAAAAUUGAGUGUCCUAAACGACCACGGAGACUCAUUCUUACAUCAAGCGAACUGAAAUUCGCCAUCACUGAAUCCAGUAUGGUUAACCAUCGGAUGACACAUUCUGCAUAUCCAUUGCUCAUCCUGCAGAACGUUGUGAAGAGUCCUGAAUGCUACGAGGCGAUGCUGGGUCCAGCUUCUUUGGUAAAACUCUACAAAUGUAUGGGUGCAGUGUGCUCGUUCUCAGCUGUAAAUGGCACCAGUUUCAUCCGACAUAUUACUAAUCAUGAAACUCACGUCCGAGCAAUUAUCAAGAAAAUUGGAAGAAACAAAGAAGCUAGCAAGCAUUUGAAAACAAGGGAGUGGAAUUUAUGUGCCUAUUGCGGUUUUGAUGCAGAAGGACCAAUUGACCUAAAACAACAUAUCGAAGAUGAGCAUGGAAGAUCACAAUUUCAGUGUGGCCAUUGUUUUUACCGUGGUUUUGCCAAAUGGCACGUAGCAUGGCACCAGGUCUAUGCUCAUGAGGGCCUUCCACCACUAAUUUUUGCCUGUUAUGCUGCCACAACAAAGCUCUUCAGCCUCCCAGUGUAG
rnacentral:lncRNA from 1 species